UACAGAGGGGUGCAGAGUGUUGAUUGAAUUGUGGCGUAAAGGGCGCGUAGGCGGUUUGGCAAGAUCGGUGUGAAAUCUUCGGGCUCAACUCGAAGUCUGCAUUGAUGACUGCCGGGCUAGAGUAUGGGAGAGGUGAGUGGAAUUUCCGGUGUAGCGGUGAAAUGCGUAGAUAUCGGAAGGAACACCUGUGGCGAAAGCGGCUCACUGGACCAUAACUGACGCUGAUGCACGAAAGCUGGGGGAGCAAACAGG
rnacentral:rRNA from 1 species